CCCUUAGAUGUUCUGGGCCGCACGCGCGCUACACUGAUGCAUUCAACGAGUCUAAAGCCUGGUCUGAUAGGGCUGGGUAAUCUUUUGAAAGUGCAUCGUGAUUGGGAUAGAUGAUUGCAAUUCUUCAUCUUCAACGAGGAAUGCCUAGUAAACGCAAGUCAUCAGCUUGCAUUGAUUACGUCCCUGCCCUUUGUACACACCGCCCGUCGCUCCUACCGAUUGAAUGAUCCGAUGAAUACCAUGGAUUGAGAGUACGAAUGGGUUCGCUCAUUUCUGCUGCUCGAGAAGUGGAGUAAAUCUUAUCAUUUAGAGGAAGGAGAAGUCGUAACA
rnacentral:rRNA from 1 species